CAUGGCUCAGGACGAACGCUGUCGGCGUGCUUAACACAUGCAAGUCGAACGCUGAAGCUCAGCUUGCUGGGUGGAUGAGUGGCGAACGGGUGAGUAACACGUGAGUAACCUGCCCCCUUCUUUGGGAUAACGCCCGGAAACGGGUGCUAAUACUGGAUAUUCACUGGCCUUCGCAUGGGGGUUGGUGGAAAGGUUUGUUCUGGUGGGGGAUGGGCUCGCGGCCUAUCAGCUUGUUGGUGGGGUGAUGGCCUACCAAGGCUUUGACGGGUAGCCGGCCUGAGAGGGUGACCGGUAACAUUGGGACUGUGUUACGGACAAGACUCUUACGG
rnacentral:rRNA from 1 species